rnacentral:misc_RNA from 1 species
GAUGAAGAACGUAGCGAAAUGCGAUAAGUAAUGUGAAUUGCAGAAGUCAGUGAAUCAUCGAAUCUUUGAACGCACAUUGCGCCCGCCAGCAUUCUGGCGGGCAUGCCUGUUCGAGCGUCAUUUCAACCCUCGAGCCCCCCCGGGGGCCUCGGUGUUGGGGGACGGCACACCAGCCGCCCCCGAAAUGCAGUGGCGACCCCGCCGCAGCCUCCCCUGCGUAGUAGCACACACCUCGCACCGGAGCGCGGAGGCGGUCACGCCGUAAAACGCCCAACUUUCUUAGAGUUGACCUCGGAUCAGGUAGGAAUACCCGCUGAACUUAAGCAUAUCAAUAAGCGGAGGA